rnacentral:rRNA from 1 species
GCUAACUUCGUGCCAGCAGCCGCGGUAAUACGAAGGGUGCAAGCGUUAAUCGGAAUUACUGGGCGUAAAGCGCGCGUAGGUGGUUUGUCAAGUUGGAAGUGAAAGCCCCGGGCUCAACCUGGGAACUGCUUUCAAAACUGGCAAGCUAGAGUAUGGCAGAGGGUGGUGGAAUUUCCUGUGUAGCGGUGAAAUGCGUAGAUAUAGGAAGGAACAUCAGUGGCGAAGGCGACCACCUGGGCCAAUACUGACACUGAGGUGCGAAAGCGUGGGGAGCAAACAGGAUUAGAUACCCCGGUAGUC